rnacentral:rRNA from 1 species
UACAGAGGGGCAAGCGUUGUUCGGAAUUACUGGCGUAAAGGGCGCGUAGGCGGCCCGCUAAGUCGAACGUGAAAUCCCCGAGCUCAACUCGGGAACUGCGUCCGAUACUGGCGGGCUUGAAUCCGGGAGAGGGAUGCGGAAUUCCAGGUGUAGCGGUGAAAUGCGCAGAGUAUCAGGAGGAACACCAAUUGCGAAGGCAGCUCGCUGGGACGUUACUGACGCUGAGACGCGAAAGCGUGGGAGCAACAGG